rnacentral:lncRNA from 1 species
AGAUACGACACAAAAUACAAGGAAAUUACAUAAACAGAGCCCACAACUACCAGGCCCAAAUAAGUUAAACCAGAUUGGAAACCCUACCUUGGUGAUCAGUAUUGGAAAACCAUAUAAUCUGGCGUUAUUGAUCAUUGAUCUAAACGUACGUAAUCUAUUGCUUUCUACAUUUCCAGCAACAAUGAAAAAGAUGGUGCAUUGAUAAAGUUUGAAUAGGCAAAUUCGCUAAGAUUAAUCCAUGGACUUUUUGUAUUAUAUGUUUUGCUCGAAGAAACAUGUCACACCCCGGUCCCGGCUCGGCGGGUUUUAAGCACCGAACGCUGAUCCCGAGACGUGAACGAGUGUUACAAAGCGGAACAGUAAACAAAAAUAUUAUCUUCUAGGCUCGUCGGCUACCAUUUCCCGGCUCGGUACAACCUAAGUACUUCUCUGUAAAAAAUAUUAGAGAUGGGUGGGUGAGCAAAACCAUGCGCUCAGUGAGUAGACCAAUGUAAUAUGCCCGCAAAGCCAUGUCAUUUUACAUACGCUACAAAAUACGUAUAUCGUAUACACAUCACUUCACGUAAUUCAUCAUAUCGCACAAUUCCUUAUUAUUGGAUAUCCUUCAAUUUAGUGAUCCCCACGGGAACCUAAUGAUCUUCAUGUCCUAUACCUCCGUGUGUCACAUCCUUACUUCGGCAUAACCAAUCAAGAAGUUCACAUGUUCCAUGACUAGUCAAACAAUGGAUCCAACAUAUAAUUAUAUAUAAACACCACAUAUUUCGCAAAUAAACAUGCUUCACUUGAAAUAGAGAGAUAUUUCGUAAAUAGAUCAAAAUCAUGUUUUUCGACUAUUUUGAUAACAAAUAAGAAUAUUUGAAACAUAUUACACAUAUCCACUCACCUCGUCAAUACGAAUCCCCACCACGAAUACCGAUCGUAAUUCGAGCCUCCUAAAACGAGCAAUCUUGAAAUCACCGUUGGAUCUAACUCAAACCUCAAGGAUAGAAAAAGGACAUCGAUACGAAC